rnacentral:misc_RNA from 1 species
GAACAUCCUCAACCUGCUUCGUUCUAUCGAACCAAGUAGGCUUGGAACUUGGAGGUUUUUCUGCUGGCUUCCUCUCAAGCCAGCUCCUCUUAAAUCUAUCAGUGGGAUCCGCUUUGCUAGAUCCUCGACGUUGAUAAGAUGUUUCUACGUCUUGGGUUUCGCUCGGGAAGGACCUGCUUCUAACCGUCCCCAUCGGGGACAGAUGUUCGAGAGCCGAUCGCCCUUCACGGGGUGGGAAGCUUUUCGACCCAUGAAA